rnacentral:rRNA from 1 species
AUUGAACGCUGGCGGCAGGCCUAACACAUGCAAGUCGAGCGGAUGAAGGGAGCUUGCUCCUGGAUUCAGCGGCGGACGGGUGAGUAAUGCCUAGGAAUCUGCCUGGUAGUGGGGGAUAACGUCCGGAAACGGGCGCUAAUACCGCAUACGUCCUGAGGGAGCAAGUGGGGGAUCUUCGGACCUCACGCUAUCAGAUGAGCCUAGGUCGGAUUAGCUAGCUGGUGGGGUAAAGGCCUACCAAGGCGACGAUCCGUAACUGGUCUGAGAGGAUGAUCAGUCACACUGGAACUGGAACACGGUCCUGACUCCUACGGGAGGCAGCAGAGGGGAAUAUGGGACAGUGGUCGAAAGCCUUAUCCAGCCAUGCCGCGUGUGUGAAGAAGGUCUUCGGAUUGUAAAGCACUUUAAGUUGGGAGGAAGGGCAGUAAGUUAAUACCUUGCUGUUUUGACGUUACCAACAGAAUAAGCACCGGCUAACUUCGUG